UCCACUCCAUAAUGACACUUUGUUGCUCUCACACAACUUUUGAUGCAAUAACCCAUGUGACUCCCGUUUGUCUUUUGUUAAAGUCCUGGUCGGUGUGCUUUACUUUUGUUAAAAUCCUUGUCGGUGUGCUUUACUUUUGUUAAAGUCAUUAUAGGUAUGCUUUAUCUUUUGUAAAAGUCCUAAUUGGCGUGCUUUGCUUUCAAAAAAGGUGUGCCUU
rnacentral:lncRNA from 1 species